rnacentral:lncRNA from 1 species
GUAUAAUUUUCUUACCUCGAGUCUGUGUGUAGAGUUGCAUGCUCCUGUCUAUGUGAUAUAACUCCCUUUUAGUUUUGUUUUAUCUAUACGUGUGGAAUCAUUAAUAAACUAUGGGAAUAUAUUCUAGUAGUGUAAUGCAUAUAAAUGAUUCUGUUUGAUGGACUAGAAUCAUCUUUUUAUUACCCGAAAGUUAUUUCAUUAGGAAUUAUGUAAACUUUAUUACUAAAAAUGAGAGCUAUUACAGAUGCCAUCAUAUUCCUUUGCUAACUUCCCAUAUAUAAUUAACACUGGUUUUUUUGUAUAUAUCUUCACAACCUGAUUCCUACUUUUGUGUUUCUCAAGAUGAGACUAAUUUGAUGUGCAUUGACCUGCUCUGUUGUUUAAAGAUAACUAGUCUACUCCUCCAUAGUAGAUAAGCUUGUCUGUAAGAAUGUUCAAUCUGUGGAACACUCUUUCAUCUCAAUCUUAUGUAACUUAUUCUGAAGAAGGAAAGUUCCAGUGAAUUAUGGGUAGAAUAAGUCUAAUACUAUAAAUAAAUAAAUAAAUAAAUAAAUAAAUAAAUAAAUCACCUAUAUUAGAGGGAGAUCAUGCUUUCCUGGCAUUCAGCAAAGGUGGAUGGAUGUUGCUGAGAAGAGAAAGAAAGGUUCUCAUGCUCCUUACAUCCUCAAGGCCAUUUAUAGCUUACACUAGAUGUUGUUAUUAAUAAUAUUUUAGUUAUUUAGUUUUUCACAACUUUAUUCAUGUAUAAUGAAUUCUGAUUGCAUGGCUUCCCCACCCUCUCUUAGUUAUGUCCCUCCUACUCUUCCAAAGUCCUACCGCUUCCCAAUAAGCCCUCCUACUUUAAGGUCUUCUUCCUGAUGUGCCUGCAUUUAUAAAUGUGCGUGUGGUGUGUGCUCGUGCACAUCUGUGUGUGUUUGAGCAUGUGCACAUGUGCGUGCUAUAACCAUGAACGGGGCUUAUAUUUAUUUAUGUAAAUUUAUAAUUUUUUCUUUAACUAUUUUUCAUUCAAUAUGUUUUGAUGAUGUACUUCCUAUUCCCCAAAUCCUUCCAGAUCUUUCCCACCUUCCCACCUUCUUUUCUAUCCAAUUCAUGCUUUCUCUCUCAAAAUAAGUACCUAAAAAAAGGGAAAAGAAUGGAAAAUCAAAACAAACAAAAGCCCAGUAAGACACAAUAGC